UGGUACUGAUGCUGCUGCUUUCUACAUCGUGGUUGUAGACUUGGGAAUCAAAAACGUGGUGAUGUGACAGCUGCCAAGGAACAGGGAAAAAAAGAGGACGAGGAAGUUCCAGAUAUUUCGCAAAGAAUAUAUGAAAUGUGUAAAGUAGACGGGGUUAUUGCAAAGCCAUGCUUUUUACGGCACGAUCAGACAGGCAGGUAUUUUCCAACAGACAGUCAGGAGAGAAUCUGCUCACUGGAAUUAGGUUAUCGUUAGCCAAACGCUUUGUCAACUUCCAUUUUCACUGCCCAGGUUUUCGUUUUAAGUAGCCUAGCUGGUUAAGCUACUAUGAUGCAUGUGUUUGCGAGUAUUGGGUUAAUUUCAGUUUGUGAAUAGUUGAAUAGACUUAUUUAAAAAUAAUGUCAUGUAGGCUAAACGAAAGAGAGAUGACGGAGAAUCACACAGCUACAUAACCUUAGCUAACCGAGUUAUUGGAUGGAGCAUAUCAAUUUUAUUCGUUGUGGUAUGUCUUGGAAUAAAUGUUGGCCAGCCAAUGUUAUGUAUUUUGAUAGCUAGUUAUCCUAAGGCUAGGCUACUUAGCCGCAGACCUGGUUCGUUUAGCCAACUGGGCCAUCCCAAAUGCAUAGAAAAAAAUAUUAAGCUAUGAGGAAUUGCUGCCAGGUGUGUAGCCUAAUUAAACUUGCUGUGCUGUUAAGUUACAAAUAGGCUAUACCCCUGCUCAUGUCAUCAUAUCCCAUGACAUGCUGCAACGUUUUUUGCACGAGCCAAAAUAGACUUGCUUGGUUGCAUAUUUCACCUCGCCGGGUAACGUUACGGCGCCUUUAACAUUUCUUUGGACUGCCAUUGGAUUGUGCUUUAAAUCCCCAGCUCAUCACAUGGGAGCGCCAUUGACUCAAUGCCAGCAUCAAACUGCAAGGGAAGUGAUAGGAACGCGGAACAUCUCGCUGGGUGCUCACGAAAGUUCCUGUCAGUUGAGGGAAUUGACCUACCAUUUAUGCUAGGCUAUAGUCAAUGUCCAUGACAUGAUAUCAGAACGUGCGAGACUGCCGUUGCACCUGUCAGCAGCAGCACACAUCAAUCGGAAAUACUUUGUUGAAGAUGAACUGAACAAGCAUACACAGCCACAUUGCAAACAUAGUUUUUGUUUGUGGCCUGUUUUGCCCUAUGCUAGUCUAUUGUUUUAGACUGUAGACCACGGAUUCUGCUGGAGCAAAAGCCUAAAACCUACUGCCUCUGUGUCUAAGGCUACACGUUAUAGCACAACUGACUCGCUUUGAUGUGUUUUUUUUUUCACCAUUGCCUGACAUUUUUAAUAAUGCACUGAAGAGAACUGGGAAUACGUUAUGUUAUUGGCGCAAGAGUAAAUCACCGAUACGAAUCCAGCAUUCAACUAUGCCUGUAAGAAAAAAAGACACAGCUAGGGCCCUAGGGCUUUUGGAAGACUACUGCGCUAAACUGACCAAGCCAGAGGAACAACAGCUCAAAACUGCCAUUCAGAGAGUGAUGGGGGUCUUCAAAAGCAGCCUGUUCCAAGCACUGCUUGAUAUCCAGGAGUUCUAUGAGGUGACGCUGCUGAACACCCAAAAGAGCUGCAAGCAGAAGCUGGAGGAGGUCAACCACAUGGCCGACAAGUGGGAACAGACGGGCACGGGCUCCCUCACCGCGGUGCUACAACACGCCUGCCCAACCGAGAUGGGGGAGCGGAGCAGCUCGGAGCACGGUGGGAAGGACCAGACACCGAUCAGUGUGAAAGUCUCUGAAAACAGGCCGGCAGCCGUGCAGGGGUCCCCACACACUGGCCCGCCCCCGGCAUGCAUGAACCCCGCCUUGAUGAGCACUCCCUGGCAGUAUCGCUAUCAAGAUGAGGACUCUCCACCUGAGCACGGGUUCCCGCGGCUGACCAACGAGGUGCGCGCCCCUGAGCUGGUGCACGUGUCGGAGAAGAACCUCUCGGAGAUUGAAAAUGUGCAUGGCUACGUGUCCCACUCCCAUAUCUCCCCGCUCAAGGCGAGUCCCGCUCCAAUAAUUGUCAACACCGACACUCUGGAGAGCGUACCUUACGUCAACGGGACAGAAAUUGAAUAUGAGUUUGAAGAAAUCACACUAGAGCGGGGGAACUCAGGGUUGGGUUUCAGCAUCGCUGGAGGAACAGAUAACCCCCAUAUCGGUGAUGACCCAGGGAUCUUCAUCACCAAGAUUAUCCCUGGUGGCGCGGCAGCAGAGGAUAGCCGGUUAAGAGUGAAUGACUGCAUCCUGCGGGUGAAUGAUGCCGACGUGUCUGAGGUGUCCCACAGUAAGGCAGUGGAGGCCCUGAAGGUGGCUGGCUCUAUCGUCAGGCUGUACGUUCGCCGGAGGAGACCCAUGCUGGAAACUGUCAUUGAAAUCAAACUCAUCAAAGGACCAAAAGGGCUGGGCUUCAGCAUCGCAGGAGGGGUGGGCAAUCAGCACAUCCCGGGGGACAACAGCAUCUUUGUCACUAAGAUCAUAGAUGGAGGUGCAGCACAGAAGGACCAGCGCUUGCAGGUUGGAGACCGGCUGCUUAUGGUGAACAACUACACUCUGGAAGAGGUCUCCCACGAGGAGGCUGUAGCCAUACUGAAGAACACUUCUGACGUUGUGUACCUGAAGGUGGGCAAGCCCACCAGUGUUUACUUAUCAGAUCCCUAUGGGCCACCUGAUAUCACGCACUCAUUCUCUCCAGCAAUGGAAAAUCAUAUCUCUUCCGGGGGCAACAACGGCACUCUGGAGUACAAGUGCAGUCUUCCCCCCAUUCCCAUCUCUCCUGGAAGGUACUCCCCCCUCCAAAAACACUUACUCGGGGAAGAGGACAUUAACAGGUUGGAUGGUUUUUCCUUCUUACGAAAUGCCUCGAUAGAUGACGGGGAGGCUCACAGGUUUGAGUCGCAGCACUUCCAGUUGAGGCCUCCUGAGCCAGUUUACAGCACUGUGAACAAAGCACCUUCUCCCCACCACUAUUCCCCCGUGGAGUGUGACAAAAGCCUCCUUCACUCCAUACCCUUCCCUCACUAUCACUUAGGCCUGCUCCCUGACUUCGAGAUCACCAGGGAUCCCAGGAGGAUGGUCCUCCACAAGGGCUCCACAGGCCUGGGAUUCAACAUCGUGGGCGGGGAGGACGGAGAGGGCAUCUUUGUCUCCUUCAUCCUGGCGGGAGGGCCUGCCGACCUGAGCGGAGAGCUGCGGAGGGGAGACCAGAUCUUGUCGGUUAAUGGCAUCGACCUACGCGGGGCCACCCACGAGCAAGCGGCUGCAGCACUAAAGGGGGCGGGCCAAACUGUCACCAUCAUUGCUCAGUACAGGCCCGAGGAGUACGGGCGUUUCGAGGCCAAAAUCCAUGAUCUGCGGGAACAGAUGAUGAACCAUAGCAUGAGCUCUGGGUCCGGAUCCCUCCGAACCAAUCAGAAACGCUCCCUUUACGUCAGGGCACUGUUUGACUAUGAAAAGGCCAAAGACAGUGGACUCCCUAGCCAGGGCCUCAGCUUCAGGUAUGGGGACAUCCUCCACGUCAUCAACGCCUCAGACGAUGAAUGGUGGCAGGCCCGGAGGGUGACCCCUGAUGGGGACAGCGAAGAGAUGGGGGUCAUCCCCAGCAAGAGGAGGGUUGAGAGGAAAGAACGAGCUCGACUAAAGACAGUGAAGUUCAAUGCCAAACCGGGAACCAUCGAUUCCAAAGGGUCAUUCAAUGACAAGCGUAAAAACAACUUCAUCUUUACACGAAAGUUCCCAUUCUACAAGAACAAGGAGUUGGGUGAGCAGGAUGGCAGUGAUUCAGAACGACAUCCCAGGAAUAGGUGACGACGGGUAUGGGACGAAGACGCUGAGGAGUCAAGAGGACAUGAUUCUCUCCUAUGAGCCUGUCAUUCGACAAGAGAUUAAUUACGCCAGACCCGUCAUAAUCCUUGGACCAAUGAAAGACAGAAUCAACGACGACCUGAUAUCCGAAUUCCCUGACAAAUUUGGCUCCUGCGUGCCACCGGAUAACUGUUCAGGGCAGCCAGAUACCACUCGGUCGAGGAGGGACUACGAGGUCGAUGGGCGGGACUACCAUUUUGUAAUGUCCAGAGAGCAGAUGGAGCAGGACAUCCAAGAGCACAAGUUCAUUGAGGCGGGCCAGUACAACGACAAUCUAUAUGGAACCAGUGUUCAGUCGGUCAAAUAUGUGGCUGAGAGGGUGAGUGUCACUGUCAUUGAGAUAUACUGUAUUUAGGCAGUGUGUUUUCAACAGGCAGAAAAAUAACGGUGGCAGGCGGCGGUGCGCUAAUCCAAUGUUUUAUGGCUUUUCCUAAUGCCUCGAUCACACCGACAAUGUUAUUGCAUUUUGGUACAACAGAAGUACAUUCAUUUCCAAUGGAAAUGUUCUGUGUGGUGCACACAUUGGAUUUAUUGAACGUGUGCGUCAAACUGUAUGCGUAGACAGCUUGACAGAAAUGGUAGCAGAAGGUGAUUGUUGAACUUCUGCGCAAAAGUGCUACCGGUGUGAUCAAGGCAUAACCAUUUCCUUAAUUAACUUCACUGAAACAUUUUGUUGUUGUUGUACUUUACGAUCUUGUCUCAUCGCUGGAACUCCCCAACGGGCUCAGGAGAGGCGAAGGUGGAGUCACGCGUCCUUCGAAACAUGACUCACCUAACUGCACUCCUUUACACCCGCCAGCUUAACCCAGAAGCCAGCCGCACCAAUGUGUCGGAGGAAACACUGUUCAACUGGCGACCGGGGUCAGCGAUGCAGUGCCUUAAACCGCUGAGUCACUCAGGAGGCCCACUGAAACUGUAUCUAACCUAAUUCCUAAUUCCUUAACCUAACCUUAACCCUACUACUACCUUAAUACAUAUCGACCCCUAUGCAUUAACUAACAAAAAUGUUCUGCUGGUCGAAAAUACACUUUCCAUAUUUAACACUAUUCAGGUUCCAUUUAACUCUGUGGUUGUAGCAUUGUGUUGAUCUAUAUUUAAUCCAGACAAAAUGUGUUUUUAUGUGUGAUGUAACCACACAAAAAGAUCAUACCAAUAUUUUUAUUUUAUUAGACCAAUUUCAGAAUUUUUAAAUGUGGGUCUUUGUGUCUUAUUGGACGAGUAACUAAAAGGACAAAUAACUAAAAGGACAACCAUGGUCUCCAAUCAUAUCUAUUCCUUUGUAUGUGUUAAAUACCUCUUCUAAUAAAGUAUUAUGUCAGAAAGAAUGACCAGGUGAAUCCAGGUGAAAGCUAUGAUCCCUUAUUGAUGUCACUGGUUAAAUCCACUUCAAAUCAGUGUAGAUAAAGGGGAAGAGACAGGUUAAAGAAGGAUUUUUAAGCCUUGAGACAGUUAAGACGUGGAUUGUGUUUGUACCAUACAGAAGGUGAAUGGGCAUGACAAAAUAUGUAAGUGCCUUUGAACAGGGUAUGGUAGGCUCACCGGUUUGUGUCAAGAACUGCAACGCUGCUGGGUUUUACACGCUCAACAUUUUCCCGUGUGUAUCAAGAAUAGGCCACCACCCAAAGGAGAUCCAGCCAACUUUACACAACUGUGGGAAGCAUUGGAGUCAACAUGGGCCAAUAUCCCUAUGGAAUGCUUUCAACACCUUGUCCUGACGAAUUUGGUAUUUGGUAUUUUAUUAGGAUCCCCAUUAGCUGUUGCAAAAGUAGCAGCUACUCUUCAAAUCAGUGUAGAUAAAGGGAGCUGUUCUGAGGGCAAAAGGGGAUGCAACUCAAUAUUAGGAAGGUGUUCCUAAUGUUUGUACACUCAGUGUAUACUGUAUAGAGUAUGUACGUGUAUAAACUGUCUCUUUCCUCUGUCAGCAGGGUAAACACUGCAUACUGGACGUGUCAGGGAAUGCCAUAAAACGACUACAAGUAGCACAACUCUACCCCAUUGCCAUCUUUAUAAAGCCUAGGUCCAUUGAUUCAUUAAUGGAGAUGAAUAAGAGAUUAACAGAAGAGCAGGCCAGGAAGACAUUUGACCGGGCCAUGAAGUUGGAGCAGGAGUUUGGCGAGUUUUUCACAGCCCUUGUUCAAGGAGACACCUUAGAAGACAUUUAUAACCACUGCAAAAUGGUGAUAGAGGAGCAUUCAGGACCCUACAUCUGGAUCCCAUCAAAAGAGAAAUUAUGAGAACACACCACUUUGGCAGGGAUAUUGGACUGCUAGAUUCACAACAUACUUUGUAACAUAUGUUCAACUGUAAUGGUAAUUUAUAUUGUUCAUAAUUAUAGCCAAUUAAAAUUAUUUUUUUCUUA